rnacentral:tRNA from 1 species
GGGGUUGUAGGUCAGUGGUAGAGCACUUGCCUCACAUGCAUGAGGCACUGGGUUUGAUCCUCAGCACCACA